rnacentral:rRNA from 1 species
ACGAACGCUGGCGGCGCGCCUAACACAUGCAAGUCGAACGAGCGAGAGAGAGCUUGCUUUCUCGAGCGAGUGGCGAACGGGUGAGUAACGCGUGAGGAACCUGCCUCAAAGAGGGGGACAACAGUUGGAAACGACUGCUAAUACCGCAUAAGCCCACGACCCGGCAUCGGGUAGAGGGAAAAGGAGCAAUCCGCUUUGAGAUGGCCUCGCGUCCGAUUAGCUAGUUGGUGAGGUAACGGCCCACCAAGGCGACGAUCGGUAGCCGGACUGAGAGGUUGAACGGCCACAUUGGGACUGAGACACGGCCCAGACUCCUACGGGAGGCAGCAGUGGGGAAUAUUGCACAAUGGGGGAAGCCCUGAUGCAGCGACGCCGCGUGGAGGAAGAAGGUCUUCGGAUUGUAAACUCCUGUUGUUGAGGAAGAUAAUGACGGUACUCAACAAGGAAGUGACGGCUAACUACGUGCCAGCCGCCGCGGUAA